rnacentral:rRNA from 1 species
UACAGAGGUGGCAAGCGUUGUUCGGAAUUACUGGGCGUAAAGGGUGCGUAGGCGGUCCGCUAAGUUGGAUGUGAAAACUCUGGGCUUAACCCAGAGCCUGCAUUCAAAACUGACGGGCUAGAGUUCUGGAGGGGGUAGCGGAAUUCCUGGUGUAGCGGUGAAAUGCGUAGAUAUCAGGAGGAACACCGGUGGCGAAGGCGGCUACCUGGACAGAAACUGACGCUGAGGCACGAAAGCUAGGGGAGCAAACAGG